UAACGUCUUCAGGGCGGGGCGAAACUCCCCACCGGCGGUAGGCGCGGCAACGCGCGAGCCCGCGAGCGCCUUGCGCGCGGCAGCCGAACCUAGGCCGCCGCCCACGCAAGGGUCAGCAGAUCCGGUCCAAUGCCGGAGCCGACGGUCACAGUCCGGAUGAAAGAAGACGGCU
rnacentral:ncRNA from 2 species